UUUUCCUGUCUGCGACAACAACCAUUGGCACGUGCACGUGGUCAAUAUUCCAGCUUCAAGGGUUGAAAUCUUAUCUUCGUUGCCUUUAAGAAGGGGUAACGGGAUAAGUGUCGUAUCGAGACGUUUGUCUGAGGCAAUUGAUAAAGCAUUCCAUGCUCAUGGCAUGCUCAGCGAUUGGAGGUCUCAAAAUUCGUGCAUGUGCAACCCCAAAUUGUGCAACAACAAAAUGGAUAUGAUUGUGGCAUGUUCGCAAUCAAGUACAUGGAACAUUGGAACGAGGCGACACUAGCACAUUCAAUCGCGGAGGACAAGAUGCAUCUAUAUCGAUUGAGGCUGGUCGUUACCUUGGUUACUAGUGCCGCA